GAUGAACGCUGGCGGCGUGCCUAAUACAUGCAAGUCGAGCGAACGGACGAGAAGCUUGCUUUUCUGAUGUUAGCGGCGGACGGGUGAGUAACACGUGGAUAACCUACCUAUAAGACUGGGAUAACAUCGGGAAACCGGAGCUAAUACCGGAUAAUAUUUUGAACCGCAUGGUUCAAAAGUGAAAGACGGUCUUGCUGUCACUUAUAGAUGGAUCCGCGCUGCAUUAGCUAGUUGGUAAGGUAACGGCUUACCAAGGCAACGAUGCAUAGCCGACCUGAGAGGAUGAUCGGCCACACUGGAACUGAGACACGGUCCAGACUCCUACGGGAGGCAGCAGUAGGGAAUCUUCCGCAAUGGGCUAAAGCCUGACGGAGCAACGCCGCGUGAGUGAUGAAGGUCUUCGGAUCGUAAAACUCUGUUAUUAGGGAAGAACAUAUGUGUAAGUAACUGUGCACGUCUUGACGGUACCUAAUCAGAAAGCCACGGCUAACUACGUG
rnacentral:rRNA from 1 species